rnacentral:rRNA from 1 species
AUUGAACGCUAGCGGCAUGCCUUACACAUGCAAGUCGAACGGUAACGGGCCUUCGGGUGCCGACGAGUGGCGAACGGGUGAGUAAUGUAUCGGAACGUACCUUUCAGUGGGGGAUAACGUAGCGAAAGUUACGCUAAUACCGCAUAUUCUGUGAGCAGGAAAGCGGGGGAUCGCAAGACCCUGCGCUGAUUGAGCGGCCGAUAUCAGAUUAGCUAGUUGGUGAGGUAAAGGCUCACCAAGGCGACGAUCUGUAGCGGGUCUGAGAGGAUGAUCCGCAAAACUGGAGCUGGGACACGGUCCAGAAUCCUACUGGAGGCAGCAGUGGGGAAUUUUGGACAAUGGGGCAACCCUGAUCCAGCCAUGCCGCGUGAGUGAAGAAGGCCUUCGGGUUGUAAAGCUCUUUCGGCCGGGAAGAAAUCGUAUCAGCUAAUACCUGGUGCGGAUGACGGUACCGGCAUAAGAAGCACCGGCUAACUACGUGCCAGCCGCCGCAGUAAGAC